UACGUAGGGUGCAAGCGUUGUCCGGAAUUAUUGGGCGUAAAGAGCUCGUAGGCGGUUUGUCGCGUCUGCUGUGAAAACUGGAGGCUCAACCUCCAGCCUGCAGUGGGUACGGGCAGACUAGAGUGGCGGUAGGGGAGAUUGGAAUUCCUGGUGUAGCGGUGGAAUGCGCAGAUAUCAGGAGGAACACCGAUGGCGAAGGCAGAUCUCUGGGCCGUAACUGACGCUGAGGAGCGAAAGCAUGGGGGAGCGAACAGG
rnacentral:rRNA from 1 species